CGUUGAAACAUUGAUUCUCGUACGAUCACCGAAGUUAAGCAAUGUCGAGCCUGGACAGGACCUUGUUGUGUGAACAUUUGGGAAUAUCAGGUGCUGUAAG